UGGGUAACCUGCCUCAAAGAGGGGAAUAGCCUCCCGAAAGGGAGAUUAAUACCGCAUAAUAUGUUUAGGUCGCAUGACUUUAACAUCAAAGGAUUUUUCUUUUAGAAAUUCCACUUUGAGAUGGACCCGCGGCGCAUUAGCUAGUUGGUGAGGUAACGGCUCACCAAGGCAACGAUGCGUAGCCGACCUGAGAGGGUGAUCGGCCACAUUGGAACUGAGACACGGUCCAGACUCCGUAGGAGG
rnacentral:rRNA from 1 species